UCGAGAAUUUUUCUCAAUGGGCGCAAGCCUGAAGGAGCGACGCCGCGUGGGGGAUGAAGGGUUUCGAUCCGUAAACCCCUGUCAUUUGCGAACAAACCUUGUUAUUUAAAAGAUGACGAGCUGAUUGUAGUGAAAGAGGAAGGGACGGCUAACUCUGUGCCAGCAGCCGCGGUAAUACAGAGGUCCCAAGCGUUGUUCGGAUUCACUGGGCGUAAAGGGUGCGUAGGUGGCGGGGAAAGUUUGAUGUGAAAUCUCCGGGCUUAACCCGGAAAUGGCAUUGAAUACUAUUCCGCUUGGAGGGUUGGAGGGGGGACUGGAAUUCUCGGUGUAGCAGUGAAAUGCGUAGAUAUCGAGAGGAACACCAGUGGCGAAGGCGAGUCCCUGGACAACACCUGACACUGAGGCACGAAAGCUAGGGGAGCAAACAG
rnacentral:rRNA from 1 species